GUCGCCACUAUUCACAAAGGGCUGGACCGUUGCGCCGCUCUUCUCGGUGACAUCCUCCACUGCGAAAAAGGGGCCGUGCCAAAGCAGGACAGCGCGAUGAAGGAUGGAGGGGCCAAAUGUCGCCCCCACACUCCGACGGGGAAGAAGGCCAUCCGGAGGUCCAUCCCCAAAUCGGGUCAUUAUGUACAGAUGUAUUCAGUAUUCUAGGACAUAAUGCAGGGUAUAUGGCACUUCUUCUUUUGGUAUUGUUUUGGUAAUGCAUAGACACCAGCGGAUUUGUUGGAGCAAUGUAUUCUGCAUAGGUGAUACUACAAUAGGGUUCUUUUGUCGUUUGGUUGAGAUUUUGCGCUUAAAUUCUGGAUUUGUAUUUGUUGGCCACUUCAUUUCCCUGACCCGUGCCCCGUGACUUAACUUGAACAUCAAACUGACAACUUCGUACUUUACUUGGACUUGGACUCUCAAGUUUUUUGAGUCACUGAACCCUGAAUAUCAGUUUUUAUAAACAAGCGUUAACAUGACUGUUUUAAAUGCUAUAAGAAUUCAUACGAGGGAGCACUAAACGAACACAGCUUGAAAAAUGUGACUCAGACCUUAUUUUAAUAAUUCGCAUUGGAAGUCCUAACUAUGAUUUUUAUUUGUAUAUAUUUCCGUUAUUUUAGUUUCGAACCCUCGCAGCGCUCAGAAGGUCCGUAGAAAAUCCUAUACCAAAUCCCCUGCUGCCGCCCCCAGGGCAGCCCCGCCCCUGCCCACUACGGCGUGAGCCUCCACCCUCCCAGCAGGAAACCGCACCUGCAGAAGACCCCGUCCAAGCCGGCUAACCCACACAUCCAGCCUCUCUGCCACACUGUGCCCCCCGCCGGACCGCCCGCUGCUCCGGACUGCCUGCCGGAGAGGGACCAGGGACCAGGGGGAGCACCAGAGUCGCAGGGCAACGUGAGAAGAGUGCGGGCUCUUCUGGGGGAGUUGAAGACGCUGAUGGCCGGGCAUGGAGACUCUGCUCAGACGUACCUGUGUUUGCUGGAGCAGACCGUGUCCUCUACACUCACACACAAAACGCCCUCCGAGCAGCGGAGUACAGAAGAGCCGAAGACCCUACAGAUUCACAACGUCCAACUACAGAGGCAGGUAAUGGCGUUACAGCAGCAAAUUCAGGACCAGGAGGCAACACAGCAGCUCCUGAACUCGCAGGUGUUGAGUUUGCAGGAGCAGCUCAGUGCGGCUGAGGAAGAGCUGACUCGGGUCCAGAGCGCUCUCCAGGAGACGAAUAUCAGCCUUAAAACGGAGCUGGAGAGCACCAGGGCCCGGCUCAGGGUCACUCUCCAGGACAAGUUCAAACUGGAGGGGACGCUUCAGCAGAAACGGCAGGAGAUCGAGGGACUCCACAGAAUAAUUGACACUUGCAGUUCAUCCACUCCCACGCCUGACAAUCUGCCAGCGAGUCCACCAGGGGCCGCCAGAGAGCACAUCACCCAGUACCUGAUGUCGCUGGAGCGGAGCAGACCCCUGACCCGACCCCAGUCCCCUUCGCUCCAGGCCCCGGGACCUCACCGGGGCCCACACCAGAGGCCCGAGCGGGACGUGGAGUCUGUGAUCAGCGACUGGAGCGUCCAGUCAGAGUCCAGCUUCAACACGCGCGAUGAGGCUGCGUUUAGGGACGGGCUGGCGGCUCUGGAUGCCAGCAUCGCCAGUCUCCAGCAGACCCUCAAAAUGGACUUGGUCAAAACAUAACACGAGAUUUUUAAUUACAGAUUUUUAAUGCGAUUGACUUCAGUGCUGAGGUGUACAUACUCAAAUUAUGGUUUGUGUGUGCAAAUGUAUGAUUAAUAAACGUAUAUAAUAUAUUUUCUGAUAUUUACAGUGUUUGUAGAGUUCUUGGUGAUAGAAGAUCAUAUGUGUACUGAAAUAGAGUAGGUCUAAACUAUGUAGUUAGUGAAGAAAGUAGGACCUCAUGCACUUGAUAUACACCAGGGUUUAGUCAUUAAAUUAAUGCCAAAAUGAAGACCUAAGUCUAAGAGGCAUGUCCUAUUGGGAGGAGGCCUCGUGGAAGGCCCAGGACAUGCUGGUGGGACUGUCUCCGAGCUGGCCUGGUGUCGCCUCGGGGUCCUCCCAGGACAGCUGGAGGAGGUGUGCGUGGAUCAGGAAGUCUGGGCAUCUCUGCUGAGACUGCUGACCCAGCAACCCGGCCCCAGAUAAAGCGGAAGAAAAUGGAUGGAUGGAAGACCCAAGUCAUUAAAAAGAAUUAAAUCUAUUAAAACUGUCUACAUUUCUUAGAAAGUAUAUUUUUUUCACUAGAGACUGAAUCUACUCAAUGACAUUUUUUUUACAUUCAUCAAAAAUAAACACUGGUCUAGUUAUAGAACUGCAGUUUGGAAAUGUCAGUUUCCCGUUGUGUCCAAUUUUGGGUUGAAAAAUUCCCCAGUUAGAGUGAAUGUUUACAAAUCUUACAAAAUGAAAUAUGCCGAGUUUUUUUUUGCAUUUGUGGUAUGAUGGUAUUUAGGCAUUUAAAGUGGCACUAAAAAGCAUUAAAUUUGACUUGUUUCCUGACCUUUUGUUUGGUAGUCAGGAAGUGUAUCCCCAGAGAAGAGAUAUUACAGUCUGUGCACUUUGCAAUUUGAAAAGUUGUAAUUUCUUUUUUAAUUCUAUUCUGAAGUACUGA
rnacentral:lncRNA from 1 species